rnacentral:rRNA from 1 species
AUUUGUGGCUUAGCAAGUCUUCCUAGCACUUGUUGUUAGUGAGGUAUUUGGUAUCCAUCCUUGGGUGGAAUUUGUGUGGCAUUAGGUUGUCGUGCAGGGGACGCCCAUCCUUUACUGUGAAAAAAUUAGAGUGUUCAAAGCAGGCUUAUGCCGUUGAAUAUAUUAGCAUGGAAUAAUGAGAUAGGACCUUGGUACUAUUUUGUUGGUUUGCGCACCGAGGUAAUGAUUAAUAGGGACAGUUGGGGGUAUUCGUAUUCCAUUGUCAGAGGUGAAAUUCUUGGAUUUUUGGAAGACGAACUACUGCGAAAGCAUUUACCAAGGAUGUUUUC